CCUACGGGUGGCAGCAGUGAGGAAUAUUGGUCAAUGGGCGCGAGCCUGAACCAGCCAAGUAGCGUGAAGGAUGACUGCCCUACGGGUUGUAACCUUCUUUUAUAAAGGAGUAAAGUGAGGCACGUGUGCCUUUUUGUAUGUACUUUAUGAAUAAGGAUCGCCUAAUUCCGUGCCAGCAGCCGCGGUAAUACGGAGGAUCCGAGCGUUAUGCGGAUUUAUUGGGUUUAAAGGGAGCGUAGAUGGGUUGUUAAGUCAGUUGUGAAAGUUUGUGGCUCAACCGUAAAAUUGCAAUUGAUACUGGCAGUCUUGAGUAUAGUUGAGGUAGGUGGAAUUCGUGGUAUAGCGGUAAAAUGCUUAGAUAUCACGAAGAACACUGAUUGCGAAGGCAGCUUACUAGACUGCCACUGACAUUGAUGCUCGAAAGUGUGGGUAUCAAACAGGAUUAGAUACCCUUGUAGUC
rnacentral:rRNA from 1 species